rnacentral:rRNA from 1 species
UGUCUUUUAGAAAUUAAUUUAAAGUCUAGCCUGCCCACUGAAAAUUUUUAAAUGGCCGCAGUAUCCUAACUGUGCAAAGGUAGCAUAAUCAUUAGUCUUUUAAUUGAAGGCUGGAAUGAAUGGUUGGACGAAAUAUUAACUGUUUCAUAAAAAUUUAUAAUAGAAUUUUAUUUUUUAGUCAAAAAGCUAAAAUAUUAUUAAAAGACGAGAAGACCCUAUAAAUCUUUAUAUUUAAGAAGUUUAAAUUAUAUAGAAAAAUUAAAUUUAAAUUUUUAAAAAUAUUUUAUUGGGGUGAUAUUAAAAUUUAAUAAACUUUUAAUUUAUUAUUAACAUAAAUUAGUGAAUUUUUGAUCCAUUUAUUAUGAUUAAAAAAUUAAGUUACUUUAGGGAUAACAGCGUAAUUUUUUUAGAGAGUUCAUAUUGAUAAAAAAGAUUGCGACCUCGAUGUUGGAUUAAGAUAUAGUUUUAGGUGCAGCAGCUUAAACUUAAAGUCUGUUCGACUUUUAAAUU